rnacentral:rRNA from 1 species
UCGAACGAUGAAGCCCAGCUUGCUGGGUGGAUUAGUGGCGAACGGGUGAGUAACACGUGAGUAACCUGCCCUUAACUCUGGGAUAAGCCUGGGAAACUGGGUCUAAUACCGGAUAGGAGCGCCUACCGCAUGGUGGGUGUUGGAAAGAUUUAUCGGUUUUGGAUGGACUCGCGGCCUAUCAGCUUGUUGGUGAGGUAAUGGCUCACCAAGGCGACGACGGGUAGCCGGCCUGAGAGGGUGACCGGCCACACUGGGACUGAGACACGGCCCAGACUCCUACGGGAGGCAGCAGUGGGGAAUAUUGCACAAUGGGCGCAAGCCUGAUGCAGCGACGCCGCGUGAGGGAUGACGGCCUUCGGGUUGUAAACCUCUUUCAGUAGGGAAGAAGCGAAAGUGACGGUACCUGCAGAAGAAGCACCGGCUAACUACGUGCCAGCAGCCGCGGUAAUACGUAGGGUGCGAGCGUUAUCCGGAAUUAUUGGGCGUAAAGAGCUCGUAGGCGGUUUGUCGCGUCUGUCGUGAAAGUCCGGGGCUUAACCCCGGAUCUGCGGUGGGUACGGGCAGACUAGAGUGCAGUAGGGGAGACUGGAAUUCCUGGUGUAGCGGUGGAAUGCGCAGAUAUCAGGAGGAACACCGAUGGCGAAGGCAGGUCUCUGGGCUGUAACUGACGCUGAGGAGCGAAAGCAUGGGGAGCGAACAGGAUUAGAUACCCUGGUAGUCCAUGCCGUAAACGUUGGGCACUAGGUGUGGGGACCAUUCCACGGUUUCCGCGCCGCAGCUAACGCAUUAAGUGCCCC